UCCUCACAAAAACUUUUUGACAUUCCAAAUCACAUUGUCGUCUUUUCAAUUAACAUAAUAUAUUGCCUACUUUGAAUUUCUAUAGCAGAUAUUAUGUCACACCAUUUGGUGAAGCUUUGGUAGAACGGUAGCACUACCAUUUCAAUUUUUAUUUUUGAAAUUCAAAAUCAUCAAAAUCUCUCUCUUUUGGAUUUUAAAUUUUCAUUUAAUUACAAUGAAUUCUCGCCUCAAAUCCAGUGCCAAGAAGUCUAAAUUUGGAUCUUUUCUCUCUCUUUGCUCACAUGGAGUUUCUCCAUUUGUUUCUUUUUCUUGCUGCACAACGUCCCAACCAUUUUGGGUAUUAAUUUGAAACAAAUCUUCUCAAAGUCUCAAGCAAAUCUGAAACAAAUCUGCUCAAAUCUCGCUCAUUAAAUGAUGAACGACUAUUUUACCGUUCGAAACCCCACGCUCUUAAUUUCAAACGUUAGAGGUAAAAAUCCCGCCCAUGAACCCUACUUCUUCACCUAUAAAUACUUGCAUUUGAAAUAUAUUGGAAAAAGAGCUUUUGGAGCCGUUGCACCUCUCUUUAAACCCACAAGCUUCGGACCCCUUCUUUAACCUUAAGCCCUAGAGCUGCCCACUUUCACCUUAAAGUCGAGAGUUUUCAGCCACCUCUGUUAAUGCAUUUCCUUUCCUCUAAUUAAAAAACAAAGUUCUCUAGCUCUCUUUGUAUUUUUAGCCAUUACAAUGGUUUAUUUGCUUAUUCUGGUAACUAACAAUCGUCUAAGGUAGGGAGUUCGAGGUCGGAGUUCGAUAUUGCAUCUAAGACCCUUCUCAGUUCGCUGUCCUGCAAAGGGUUUCAAUUUUUUAAAGGCUGCCUAGCACUGAACACUGUUUUGGCUACGAAUCUGCAUAAAGGACAAAACUAUAAUGGUAGACAGAUUUGAAGCAUUCAGUAUUGGUAUGAGAUCGUUGCAAGCAGAAGAUGAAGAUACCGAGGCAAAUGUGGUACGAAGAAACCUGUUGGUUAAUCUGGGAAGAACUUUCAACCUUCUUCCAAAUGCAACUUCUGCUUCUAGCUCAAACCGAAAUAUUUUCUUAACCAUAUCUCCUUGCCCAGCUCAUACUUAUGCAAUCUCUAAAUAAGUUCCAUUAACCUGCAACCCCAAUCAAGUCAUGAUAAUGCCUCCCAAAACCACAACUCCAUUUGAAGGAAGCAAGCAAAACCAACUAGUAGUAUGCCCUCAUAAGAGACGUGGAAAAGAAAUCGAGCAAAUUUGCCGUAUAGAUUUGGAUAAAGAACUUCGUGAUUUAAAUAAAGCCAUUGGAGAAGAAUUGCAAUCAAGAAAUUACCAACGUCUAUGAUAUGAAGAAUUAUGCCUGCAACCAGAUACAGAACUCCCACCAGGGUACCAGAUGCCAAAGUUUAAUACUUUCAACGGGAAGGGAAAUCCCAUCACUCAUUUAAAGGAUUAUUGUAGAAGGUUACUUGGUAUUGGGCACAAUGAGGCCAUUCGAAUGAAGUUAUUCAUCCAAAGCUUAUCAAGACCUGCACUUAUUUGGUACACAAAACAAAAUUUUAGCAAAUGGCACACGUGGGAUGAUAUGGCUCACGAUUUGUAAAGCAAUAUGAGUUCAACCUUGGAAUCUAUAUAGACAUGCAUAGCCUGUACAAAAUAGAGAAAAUGCCACGUGAAUUUUUUCAGGAUUACGCAAUCUGGUGGAGAGUUGAAGCUUCAAAA